rnacentral:rRNA from 1 species
GACGAACGCUGGCGGCGUGCUUAACACAUGCAAGUCGAACGCUGAAGCCCUUCGGGGUGGAGGAGUGGCGAACGGGUGAGUAACACGUGGGUAAUCUGCCCUGCACUCUGGGAUAAGCCUUGGAAACGGGGUCUAAUACCGGAUAGGACACAUCGCCGCAUGGUGUGUGUGUGGAAAGUUCCGGCGGUGCAGGUUGAGCCCGCGGCCUAUCAGCUUGUUGGUGGGGUGAUGGCCUACCAAGCCGACGACGGGUAGCCGGCCUGAGAGGGUGGUCCGCCAACCUGGGCCUGAGACACGGCCCAGACUGCUACGGGGCGCAGCAGUGGGGAAUCUUGCGCAAUGGGCGAAAGCCUGACGCAGCAACGCCGCGUGGGGGAUGACGGCCUUCGGGUUGUAAACCUCUUUCGACCGGGACGAAGGAUUCGUUUGACGGUACCGGUAGAAGAAGCACCGGCUAACUACGUGCCAGCAGCCGCAGUAA